AUAUAAAAGUAUACGUUAUGGUGUCUGUAAUAGAAUAAAUGUGGCAAAAACAAACGUAGGCAUUAAUAAAUGCAUUUAUAUAGCUUCCCCCCAAAAAUUGAAAUGGUGGGGGAGUGCCAAGAUGGAGGCAAGGUGGCUUCAACACAGCGCACCGUAUUAGUCAUCUAGCUCAUAUAUAAAGCCUUGGGCUACACCCAGACUGCAUGGGACUUGUUAGAGGAGUGGUGGGGCUUGGUAAUAAUCUUUUGGAAGAAGCUAGCUAGCUAACGAAGAACAACAAAGAAUAUCUAGUUAACAGAAGAAAAGAAAGAGAAAAUCAGGACAGAAGAAAAAGGAUAUCAAAGUGAAACAGUUCUCUAAAGACACAAGAGACAAUAAUACAAGAAACAACACUUCUGUAGCUUGUCAACUAUGUGUCUGUCUAUCCCUGUUCUCUCCCCUCUGCACAGGCCAUACAAACGCUUCACACCGCUUGGCCGCUGCAACUCUAACCUGGUGGUCCCAGCGCGCACGACCCACGUGGAGUUCCAGGUCUCCGGCAGCCUCUGGAACUGCCGGUCUGCAGCCAACAAGGCUGAGUUAAUCUCAGCCUAUGCUACCCUCCAGUCCCUAGACUUCCUGGCGCUGACGGAAACAUGGAUUACCACAGAUAACACUGCUACUCCUACUGCUCUCUCUUCGUCUGCCCACGUGUUCUCGCAUACCCCUAGAGCAUCGAGCCAGCGGGGUGGUGGCACUGGAAUCCUCAUCUCUCCCAAGUGGACAUUCUCUCUUUCUCCCCUGACCCAUCUGUCUAUCUCCUCAUUUGAAUUCCAUGCUGUCACAGUUACCAGCCCUUUCAAGCUUAACAUCCUUAUCAUUUAUCGCCCUCCAGGUUUCCUUGGAGAGUUCAUCAAUGAGCUUGACGCCUUGAUAAGUUCCUUUCCUGAAGAUGGCUCACCUCUCACAGUUCUGGGUGACUUUAACCUCCCCACGUCUACCUUUGACUCAUUCCUCUCUGCCUCCUUCUUUCCACUCCUCUCCUCUUUCGACCUCACCCUCUCACCUUCCCCCCCUACUCACAAGGCAGGCAAUACGCUUGACCUCAUCUUUACUAGAUGCUGUUCUUCCACUAAUCUCAUUGCAACUCCCCUCCAAAUCUCCGACCACUACCUUGUAUCCUUUUCCCUCUUGCUCUCAUCCAACACUUCUCACUCUGCCCCUACUCGGAUGGUAUUGCGCCGUCCCAACCUUCGCUCUCUCUCUCCCGCUACUCUCUCCUCUUCCAUCCUAUCAUCUCUUCCCUCUGCUCAAACCUUCUCCAACCUAUCUCCUGAUUCUGCCUCCUCAACCCUCCUCUCCUGCCUUUCUGCAUCCUUUGAUUUUCUCUGUCCCCCAUCCCCC
rnacentral:lncRNA from 8 species